rnacentral:snoRNA from 1 species
GGCCUAGGAUGAACCAUGUGGAUGUUAUUUGUGAAUGAUAUUUCAGUGAUUACAAAACCAUACUGCCUUCCUUCUGAGGCC